GGAAGAGGGAUGGCGACGGGUCUGGGGCCAGCAGGAGGCAGUUAAUUCUCCCCACACGAGUGGCUUUGCUUUCCUAAACGUUAGCAGGAGCCUGCAGCCAUUUGCAGCCUGUCUAACUGGACUUGGUUCACAGUGACAAGGAUAAACUUUGUCUCCUCUGUGGAGGAGUGCGAAGAGGAGGAGGUUUAGUAACUGAGAUGCCUGCCAAUGUUAUGGGAGAGCGCUGGCUGCUGCGAGGCGAGUUGCGCCGCGUGUCCGAGCAUGUAUCAUUCAGCGCUGCCUGAGGAGCGCCACCACGUGCACUUGCAGGUUGCAAGAGGUAGCCUGAGAUCAUGGGAUGCUGAAUUUCCAGAGGCACUUCUGAGCCCCUGCACUGCCUUUCAGAGGAUCAGCAGAUGCUGCAGCUCCUGCACAGAGCCACCAGUGCCUCUUUAUUCAUCCCUUGGAAGGAAAUCUCAGAGCAAGUGGCUUCGGGGUGAGCACAGCUUUUGGUUUGGGCCACGGAUCCAUCAGCUGUGCAUCUGAACAGCAAUCCAUCCAGAGGAGCCAGGCUUUGAAGGACAGUGCCACUUGCUAAGUAAAGAGACAGUUUAAAUAUGUUAAGUCUCCAGAGAUUCCAACCAGCACAGAUGGGAGCAAACUUUCUGGCUCUUUCCUCCAGCAAACAAUGAGCUGCAAUAUUCAGCAUCCUCCGAGAUGUUUCAUCUCAGCUGGCAUCUCUAAUUUAGAAUCAAUGAUUAACAGAAGAUGCAACUAAUUUGUCUUUGUUAUUUGGCUUUGCCACAGUCAUCUUUACUCAGAAAAAAUGGAUUGAAACAAUGUUCUGAGGACUGGAAAGCAUCUAAUGAGGAGUCUGCUCUGUGGCUCCUUUGUAGACUGGCAUUAAAUAGAUGUAAUACAGGACAAUAGCUCUGGUGUUAAGUGGCCUUAACCAAUUCAU